rnacentral:tRNA from 1 species
UGGCCCAGUUGGUAGGAGUGUGGCACUAGCAACGCCAAGGUUGUGGGUUCAAUUCCCAC